rnacentral:lncRNA from 1 species
UUGCCUUUCACCCCUUCCACAUCCAUGUCAACAACAUCCUCAAAUAAGUCUUUAUCUCCACCAUCUAUCUCACUAUCACUAUCAAAAAAAUCCUCAUCUUCAAACUGUCCACUGCCAUCUUCUUCGGGUUCAAAACUACGACCACCUUGCUCAACUCUUCCUCUAUUCAAAUUAGUGUAAAACACUGGCAACUUCUCACCAACUAUAUUGUUC